rnacentral:rRNA from 1 species
UACGUAGGGUGCAAGCGUUAAUCGGAAUUACUGGGCGUAAAGCGUGCGCAGGCGGUUUGUAAGUCUGUCGUGAAAUCCCCGGGCUCAACCUGGGAAUUGCGAUGGAGACUGCAAGGCUAGAAUCUGGCAGAGGGGGGUAGAAUUCCACGUGUAGCAGUGAAAUGCGUAGAGAUGUGGAGGAACACCGAUGGCGAAGGCAGCCCCCUGGGUCAAGAUUGACGCCUACAUGCACGAAAGGCGUGGGGAGCAAACGAGGAUUACGAA